UUACAUAUUCUAAUCCUAACCCCUUUAUGGCUGCGCUAUAAAUAUCCAGAUUCAUAUUAUAUCACGGAGGUAGAAACGAGAGAGGAGAGAAGAAAAUGGCGUUUCCAAGACCCUUCAAGCGACUGAACCAGUUUUUCCGGGAACAUAGGACACUGGAUCGAACGUUGAGCAUAGGGUAUUAUGUCGCAAUUGGCUCGGCAUUUUGGAUUGGUGCUGGGCCCGACAAGACAGAGGAUGUCGAAACUCGUUCCAGACCCUGACUACUAAAUCCGAUGUACUUCAGGUUCCACGUCUUCUUAAAGCUAAAAAGUCUUCUCCCAUGGAGGUGACCGUACACUAACUAUUGCAUAAUGAUAUUUAUCAACAUAGAUCAAUACUAUGUAUAUGGAUGCCAGGCUAGCCUUUUAUCAAACUUGUGGUCCAAUAGUCCUGAAUUACUUUUUAGGGACAGCAAGACAAACCUCUCAGUGAUUACCGGAGUCAAGUAUGCAGCUCUAAUGCUUGUGGGAAUUUGUAAUUAUUUAUCUGUACAACAACCAGUAGUUAGAGUUAAAAGAACAGUUUUUUUUUUUAUCGAGAAAUAGUAGAUAGGAUGUACUCUGCAAUACCUAAUGCCUUGGUUUAGCUAAACAUUUUCUUUAUUAAUGGUUGCUAUUUCAAACAUUUGCAAACUUUUGUAGCAGAAAGGGACUACACUUUUAUGGUAA